rnacentral:rRNA from 1 species
AUACGGAGGGUGCAAGCGUUAUUCGGAAUCACUGGGCGUAAAGGACGCGUAGGCGGGUUGGCAAGUCAGAUGUGAAAUCCUACAGCUUAACUGUAGAACUGCAUUUGAAACUGCUAAACUAGAGUAUGGGAGGGGGAGAUGGAAUUAGUGGUGUAGGGGUAAAAUCCGUAGAUAUCACUAGGAAUACCGAAAGCGAAGGCGAUCUCCUGGAACAUAACUGACGCUAAGGCGUGAAAGCGUGGGGAGCAAACAGGAUUAGAUACCCCAGUAGUCC